UACGUAGGGUGCGAGCGUUGUUCGGAAUUACUGGGCGUAAAGCGCUUGUAGGUGGCUCUGCAAGUCAGAUGUGAAAGCCUGGGGCUCAACCCCAGAAGUGCAUCUGAAACUGCAGAGCUUGAGUAUGGGAGAGGGUGACGGAAUUCCUGGUGUAGUGGUGAAAUACGUAGAUAUCAGGAGGAACAUCGGUGGCGAAGGCGGUUGCCUGGCCCAAUACUGACACUGAGAAGCGAAAGCGUGGGGAUCAAACAGG
rnacentral:rRNA from 1 species